UACAUUAAAAAAACUGUAAAAUCAUUUUAUGGUUGCUUAGCAAAUAACUUUUUAAUAUGUAGCUAUCUAGCGCUAGGUAACCCUUAACAUGAUUUCACAGUAUUUUUAAUGUAGCUAUCCUAACCAAAUCAACCAUCCACAAUGUUUUCAAGUAUUUAUAAUGUAGCUAACAUAACCUAAUUGACCAUUAGUUUUCAUGAGUUGCAUAUUUAUUUACAAUAAACAAAAAAACCCGAAGAUGCACGAUCGGGCGUUUGCCUCUCGUCUGUUGAAAGAAGGCUUGCCAACGUGAGUAUUCGGGUAUGUCCAGAAGGAUGAGUGAAUCGUAGGCUUCCCGCGUUCCACCAGUGUUGCUUGUUUACGAGUAUGAUUUUUUUUUUUUUUUUUCGCGACGUAGUUGAACGACUACAUCACGUAAAAAGAAAAUUACUUUGUAGCUAACUUUCUGGGAACCUUGCCCAAUGCUGAUAAAUGCUUAUCGGACAGGAAGUGAUUCAAGCAGAAAACUUCUUCAGAACACAACAGGACUUUGACGCCAAACAUUAGUGCUCCUCGAAUCCGCACAGACCGCUAUGGCGCAUCGCCGCCUCGCCCCGAGCGUGUGCGACGUGAACGCACCUGGGUGCAGGGUGGUGCAACGCCUCGAACGUAAGCUGCCCUGCCUAAUCGACUGUCGCCCGCGCAAAAGUCGACCAAGGGGGUACUGUUAGGUGACCUGAUUACCUGGACUUUGAAAUUAACAUUCAGCACUCUAAAAAACAAUAUUAAUUAAGUAAUGACUGUGCUUAAAUAUUAAUUGUAAUUCUGUACUUUAGCGCGAUCAGGCGGCGUGCAUGGCCCGGGAUUACUUUUGCACACGACACGUUUUCGCGGGAGCGAGGCUGGGGAGUCGUGCGGACGUCACAGCCAUCGCCAGUUAAUCACCGCCCUCCAAGGAGACGAGACGUGAGUCGCCCGCGGAGCCUCUCGACCUCCGCCCUUGCCAUCUCUACCGGAAUUGCGUGAGUUUUCAGCACAUCAGAAACGUGUCCUGUAGAGCGCGGCUCCCAGUAAGCGGGUCAUGCACGACGCAGCGCAUGUAUAGCGUGCCUGACAAUAAACCACUUUGAAUCGA